UACGUAGGGGGCAAGCGUUGUUCGGAUUUACUGGGCGUAAAGCGUGUGUAGGCGGCCAUAUAAGUCGGAUGUGAAAGCCCUGGGCUCAACCCAGGAAGUGCACUCGAUACUGUAUGGCUUGAGUACUGGAGAGGUUGGUGGAAUUCUCGGUGUAGAGGUGAAAUUCGUAGAUAUCGAGAGGAACACCGGUGGCGAAGGCGGCCAACUGGACAGAUACUGACGCUGAGACACGAAAGCGUGGGGAGCAAACAGG
rnacentral:rRNA from 1 species